GCCCGGGGGGUCCAAAAUUUUAAAAUUCUAGGCCGGGGGGCCCAAAAUUUUAUGACACCGGCCAACAGUUUUCGAACAGAUUUGUUUACUAAUUCUAUUUGAUGCGCACCUUCGCAGCCCCUCCCCUAGAAUUUAGCCACACCCCUAUACAUCUAUGGCACAUGCGCACUAAUUUAUAUAAAUGCUGAAGCAGAAGCUGAACCUCACAUUUGCAGCAAGUUUGCAGUAUCAAUGUCACUGUCCAUCAUCUCUGAGUCUCUACAAAAGUGAAGUGAUCUCUUCAACAUGUCUCUACAUCUCAAGAAGCGCUACUCCACCUCUAAACCUUGCAGCUGCAAAUGUCCACUAAAGCUCAACAAUUGCUCUUAUUCGAUUCGAUUCUUAUAUACGCCCAGCCACGAAUAGAUAGUGUUCAUCACAACACGAAAUUCGAAAACGAACGAUCAACAACAACAAAAAGCACUCAACAGUCAUCUCAUUUAUAUCAGACAUUAUUAUUAUGUAUAUAGAGAGGGGCCCCUCACAGUAGUCAGUACCUUCAUUCAUUUUUGUGACAGCAGUAUAUCACAACAAGUGGCAGUAUCUGCUCUUGAGCACUGACUAAUUAAAUGAUCUGACAACACGAGACCACUGGGUGGAAUAUUGAAGUCAAGUCUAUCCACUACUGAACUAUUGUGAACUAAUGAAGUCUAUCUGAACUAUAUUGAAGUACUGAAGUCUAUCCACUACUUAUGAAGUCAAGUCUGGAACAUUUCUACUAACAUCACUGACACUGACACUGGCUAUCAACACUGCAGAUGGUGGUACUCACGCACAGACUGGUUGUGGUCUGAUAGUUAUAACGAGCCUUAUACGUACUGUAUAUCAAGCCUUAAAUCGUGUCUACUAAUGUCUACCCCCUAAUAAUCUAUUUCUCGCACUGCAUAGUUCUUGCUCUGGGGGACCAACUGGCAGAUCUGACACACUGCACUGCAGAUGGUGACAUUUCAAGGAUCUACAUGAUUAUUAUAAUUAUGGGUUGUAGUUUGGCAUUAGAUAGUUAUCAAUCAAGCCUGGUAUAUUAGCAUGUAUGAGUACUAUCAGGCACUCCUGGUACUAUAUUGAUGAGUCCUAAUCUAUUUCUUACACUACAUGGUUCUUGCUCUGGAGGGGACCAACUGGCGGAAUUUGUAUAGAAAAGACUCUUUUAUGUCCGACACACUGGAUACUGGCAGCAUAUCGAGAACCUAUAUAUCGGUUGUGGUCUAACGAUUAAUAUAUUGAGCCUUACACCAUUCUAUCAAGCCUUGUGUAUAUUCGUACAUGUAUGAUUACUACUGAUGUGUCCUACCCCAACAACCAACUGCUUUACUAUAGUCUGUCUCUUUCAAACCUUGCAUCCCUGUAGAACCACUCACCAGCUGCAUGUAUUGUGUGCUUCAGACGUACCUAUAGUAUACUUCCUAUAACCCUAUUCUAACCAAAUUCUCCCACUACAUGGUUCUAGCUCUGGAGGACAACUGGCGGAAUUUCUAUAAAAGACUCGUUUAUAUCCGACACUGGAUCGACAGCAUUUCAAACAAGAAUCUACAUAUCGGUUGUGGUCAAACAAGUUUAAAAUAAUAUUGAGCCUUAUACACAGCUAGUUACGUAAUAAGCCUUGUGUACAUGUGUGUGCUCUGUGUCCUAACCUCUACCCCUGGUGUCAUACAUGCAUUAUAGAGUUCUAGCUGGCUCUUGGGGACCAACUGGCAGAAUCUCUAGAAAGAACUCGUUUUUAUUCGACACACUGGCAUUUCACUAUCAAGAAUGUACAUAUAUCGGUUGUGGUCUGACAAUUAUUCUUAUUUGAGCCUUAUACAGUAACAAGCCUUGUGUGUUACAUGACACGAGUACCUAACCCCAUGCAUGCAUGUACCCUCUAAUAAUCUAUUUCUCCCACUACAUGGUUCUAGCUCUGGAUGACAACUGGCGGAAUUUCUAUAAAAGACUCGUUUAUAUCCGACACUGGAUCGACAGCAUUUCAAACAAGAAUCUACAUAUCGGUUGUGGUCAAACAAGUUUAAAAUAAUAUUGAGCCUUAUACACAGCUAGUUACGUAAUAAGCCUUGUGUACAUGUGUGUGCUCUGUGUCCUAACCUCUACCCCUGGUGUCAUACAUGCAUUAUAGAGUUCUAGCUGGCUCUUGGGGACCAACUGGCAGAAUCUCUAGAAAGAACUCGUUUUUAUUCGACACACUGGCAUUUCACUAUCAAGAAUGUACAUAUAUCGGUUGUGGUCUGACAAUUAUUCUUAUUUGAGCCUUAUACAGUAACAAGCCUUGUGUGUUACAUGACAUGAGUACCUAACCCCAUGCAUGCAUGUACCCCCUAAUAAUCUAUUUCUCCCACUACAUGGUUCUUGCUCUGGAGGACAACUGGCGGAAUUUCUAUAAUAUAGAGAAAAAACUCCAUAUUACAUCUGACAGUAGAGGGACUGCUGGUGACAUCUAUACGUAUCAGUUGUGGUGGUCUGAUGAUUAUUUCUAAAUAAUUAUAAGCUUUUAUAUAUAAUUAUACAGUUCAAGCCUUGUGUAUUGUAAUUCCAUGUAUGAGGUAGUACUACGUAUGUGUCCUAACCCUACCCUUCACACUACAUGGUUCUGGCUCCGGGGGACCUACUGCACUGGAGAGAGUAUCCACCAUGUCACAUACUGAAGUCAAGCAUGGAACAUAUAUCUACUGAUGUACAUCACCAAAUCCCACAAACACUGAUGGAAUAAGCAACAAUGUCCUCCUCCUCAACCAUGACUAUAUAGCUGCUGCAAUGAACCAUCAUAAUCAUACUCAUCACAAUCAUACUUUUGGGGCGCCCCAUCAUUUUUCAUUUCCUUUUCGUUUGUCAUACUGUAAAUGAAAAAUGAACUCGAUCUACUGGUUCUCUGGAGGGGGAGUGGUCAGACCACACCUACUACAACUGUGGCCACACCCACAUGAUGGCCACACCCUCAUGUUAGGCAACAGCAACUCUUACAUGAGAAUCUCCAUUGGAUAGCAAAUUCUAACCACCUGGAUGUAACUAAUUAGUCUCAUGGCCAGACUACCUUCUAAUAACCUGGACUGGGACAGCCUCUAGAUAUCCCAGAUGGUCCCAUGGGCGGAUGGGCGGGGGGCCAGCGAUGCAGUGCCACAUACUCGCGACGGUGCUGGCUGUCACACUGCAUGGAGGGAGGACUCUCUCUCUCUCUCUCUCUCUCUGGUGUGCAAGAGCACUGCAAACUGAAUAAUUAUGAUAAUGAACAUACAAACAUUAUUGAACAUUAAUUUUUAACAUUAAUUUUACAAUGGUUGGUGUAAUGAAAAUGAAAAGACACUUUUAAGUGUUACUGUGUUGACCUUU